rnacentral:rRNA from 1 species
CGUAAACAAAGGGAAGCGAAGGGGCGACCUGGAGCAAAUCUCAAAAAUAACGUCUCAGUUCGGACUGUAGUCUGCAACCCGACUACACGAAGCUGGAAUCGCUAGUAAUCGCGAAUCAGAAUGUCGCGGUGAAUACGUUCCCGGGUCUUGUACACACCGCCCGUCACACCAUGGGAGUUGGUAAUGCCCGAAGUCAGUGACCCAACCGCAAGGGAGGGAGCUGCCGAAGGCAGGACUGAUAACUGGGGUGAAGUCGUAACAAGGUAGC